rnacentral:other from 1 species
UUUACCCUGGGGUGUACGUGACUAGGAUUUACGUCCCUGAGCCGAUAAGCAACAAACAAGGGUUAGUACUUGGUAGCUAUUGAGCAAGCUCGGCUCGUAUCGAGAAGCCUACGGUUAACAGUCUGAUCCGCCUUGAACCUACUGGUUCAAGGGUCAAAAUCCUAAACGGCACUCUGGGGUACCC